UACAGAGGUCUCAAGCGUUGUUCGGAUUCAUUGGGCGUAAAGGGUGCGUAGGCGGCGCGGUAAGUCGGGUGUGAAAUCUCGGAGCUUAACUCCGAAACUGCAUUUGAUACUGCCGUGCUUGAGGACUGGAGAGGAGACUGGAAUUCUCGGUGUAGCGGUGAAAUGCGUAGAUAUCGAGAGGAACACCCGUGGCGAAGGCGGGUCUCUGGACAGUUCCUGACGCUGAGGCACGAAGGCCAGGGGAGCAAACAGG
rnacentral:rRNA from 1 species